rnacentral:rRNA from 1 species
UUUCGCAAUGCCCGAAAGGGUGACGAAGCGACGCCGCGUGGGUGAGGAAGGCCUUCGGGUUGUAAAGCCCUGUCAGGAGUUAAGAAAUGUAAGUGCGCUAAUACCGCAUUUAUUUGACGAAGGCUCCAAAGGAAGUCACGGCUAACUCUGUGCCAGCAGCCGCGGUAAUACAGAGGUGGCAAGCGUUGUUCGGAAUUAUUGGGCGUAAAGAGCACGUAGGUGGGUUUGUAAGUCAGAUGUGAAAGCCUCCUGUUCAACGGGAGAAUUGCAUCUGAAACUACAGAUCUUGAGUGUAGGAGGGGAGAAUGGAACUUCUGGUGGAGCGGUGAAAUGCGUAGAUAUCAGAAGGAACGCCGGCGGCGAAAGCGAUUCUCUGGCCUAUUACUGACACUCAAUGUGCGAAAGCUAGGGUAGCAAACGGGAUUAGAUACCCCGGUAGUCCUAGCCGUAAACGAUGGGCACUAAGUAGAGGGGUUUUA